AGGUGUUGAGAUUCUUGCGAGAGCGCCGUCACCAUCUUCUAGAGAUGGAGUGUUGCACGUUGAGGGGAAGACCCUGGCUGGUGGUGGACAGCUGCUGCUGCUGUUCACUCAAGAGAGGAGUCUAUAUCAUCGCCUCCCUUGAGAUACUUGCUUGCUUCGUCUCGAUAAUUCUGUUAUUGGUUCAUAUGAAGUUUCCAGAUAUGGUGGGAAGAAUCUUGGAGUUACUGGCUCAUAUCGUCAUCACUUCCAUUCUUAUCUACGGAGUUAAAAAGGUCCGUUCCAUUUACCCAUGACUAAUAAAGGUUCAUUUCCACUUAUUCAUGAUUAACAAAGGUACGUUUCCACUUAGCCAUGACUAGCAAAGGUUCGUUUUCACUCAGUCAUAGCUAAUGAAGGGUCGUUUCCUCUUAACCAUGACUAACAAAGACUGGUUUCCACUUAGCUUUGACUAACAAAGGUUUGUUCCCUCUUAGCCAUGACUAACAAAGUGUACUUGGUCAUCGUAACAUCUUUGGCAAUGACCAGGCUGAUAACCUAGCUAAAUCGGCCUCUGGCUCGAGAUUUCCCAGGGAAACCUCUGGGCCACUGCUUUUUUGGGAAAGAAAUCACUAGACCAGUGGUAAAGACGGAAGUUCUCAGGGAGGUACUACCGUCCUGCCAACUGCGUGUGGAGCAGAAACCUGUAGUUGUUUUACAUAUUGGUAAGAAUGCUGGUAUCUUUUUCUUUCUGUCUCAUAAACACGUAAGAACACUAGUACGUCUUGCUACUUCUACUUACACUUAGUCACACUAAAUAUACAUGUACAAGUAUAUGUGUACAUACCGAUCUGAAUUU